rnacentral:rRNA from 1 species
CGAGAAAGCCCGCAAGGGUGAGUAAAGCGGCGCACGGGUGCGUAACACGUGGGUAAUCUGCCCUGGAGCCCGGAAUAACUUCCCGAAAGGGAUGCUAAUGCCGGAUGAGACCACGGGAGCUUCGGCUCCUGAGGGAAAAGGUGGCCUCUGUAUACAAGCUAUCACUCCAGGAUGAGCCCGCGGCCCAUCAGCUCGUUGGCGGGGUAAUGGCCCACCAAGGCUACGACGGGUAGCUGGUCUGAGAGGACGAUCAGCCACACUGGAACUGAGACACGGCCCAGACUCCUACGGGAGGCAGCAGUGGGGAAUCUUGCGCAAUGGGCGAAAGCCUGACGCAGCAACGCCGCGUGUGUGAUGAAGGUCUUCGGAUCGUAAAGCACUGUCGCGAGGGACG